ACGGUGCGGUAAGAGCGCACCAGCGCGGCGGCAACGUCGGGGGUUGGCAAACCCCAUCUGGAGGAAGCGCAAAGAGGACCGCCAUCCGGUGGCCCGCCGGGCGCUGGGGUUGCGUGCGAGAGGCGGGGGGCGCCUCGCGUUCGAGAUAAAUGGCCGUCCCCGACAGAACCCGGCUUACAGGUCCGCUCGCCUC
rnacentral:RNase_P_RNA from 1 species